AACGAACGCUGGCGGCAGGCCUAACACAUGCAAGUCGAGCGGACCUUUCGGGGUCAGCGGCGGACGGGUGAGUAACGCGUGGGAAUAUGCCCUUCUCUACGGAAUAGUCCUGGGAAACUGGGGUAAUACCGUAUACGCCCUUUGGGGGAAAGAUUUAUCGGGGAAGGAUUAGCCCGCGUUGGAUUAGGUAGUUGGUGGGGUAAUGGCCUACCAAGCCGACGAUCCAUAGCUGGUUUGAGAGGAUGAUCAGCCACACUGGGACUGAGACACGGCCCAGACUCCUACGGGAGGCAGCAGUGGGGAAUCUUAGACAAUGGGGGCAACCCUGAUCUAGCCAUGCCGCGUGAGUGAUGAAGGCCUUAGGGUUGUAAAGCUCUUUCAGCUGGGAAGAUAAUGACGGUACCAGCAGAAGAAGCCCCGGCUAACUCCGUG
rnacentral:rRNA from 1 species